UACGUAGGGUGCGAGCGUUGUCCGGAAUUAUUGGGCGUAAAGGGCUCGUAGGCGGUUUGUCGCGUCGGGAGUGAAAACCUUGGGCUUAACUCAGGGCUUGCUUUCGAUACGGGCAGACUAGAGGUAUGCAGGGGAGAACGGAAUUCCUGGUGUAGCGGUGAAAUGCGCAGAUAUCAGGAAGAACACCGAUGGCGAAGGCAGCUCUCUGGGACGGUACUGACGCUGAGACGCGAAAGCGUGGGGAGCGAACAGG
rnacentral:rRNA from 1 species